UCAAAUGAUGAGUUUAUUGAACACUUUUCUUAGCUAGAUAGUAUCUGAAAGCAAACUUUAUGAUUGUGGUGUUUUUUUCAAUGGGAAUCUCUCUGAUA
rnacentral:snoRNA from 1 species